AUUAGCUUGGCAGAGUAGUGCAUCGACGUUAGAAUUCGAAUAUGCUUAAGGCAGCUGGUG
rnacentral:tRNA from 1 species